CCCGUCACGUCAUGGGAGUGGAUGGUACCAGAAGCAUGUAGGCUAACCGCAAGGGAGCCGCCUGCCACGGUAUGAUUCAUGACUGGGACG
rnacentral:rRNA from 1 species